AAGGCUUUGGCUUCUAAUGAAAACAAACCCAGAGGGUUUCAUCAAAAGGGAGAAUAGAAUGGACUUCCAUUUAAGUUAAAUUCAAAAGAUGGGUUAGAGAGAGAAGCUCUCUAGAAAACGUUGUCUUCUAGGGUUUCAAUUGUUCAUUGAUUUCCUGAUGUCUGUAGCUAUUGUUACCAUUGAUGAUGAAAAUUUGGUGGUUUUUUCUCAGAAUUGUUUGGGCGAUCUAGGGCUUGAUAACUGUGCGUGUGAAGCACUGUGUGCGUCUGCGAUUAAGACGGUGGAACAUUCUGGUUCCCCUUCUAAAUAGAUGGAAGAAAUCAGAGAGAGAUUGAAUGUGAUGGAAGCAAAUAUUGCCGGGGUAAAUCAGGAGAAGGGUUCGUCUCAUCGAAGAAGGGUUACCUGAUUAUCUUUCUUUUUAUGGUAAACUGCUGCUGCUUCUCUCUCUCUCUCUAAAGCUAGGGUUUCGAAACCACCAUGUCAAGAGGUGUUGAUUGAACGACGGUAGAUUUUUCUGUUUCUUGUGAACUUUUGUUCAGAUUUUUCUAUCACCAUUUGUUCUAUUUCAUGUAUAUGUCUAGUGAUUUUUUUUGGGGGGGGGAGUUUUGAGAAGUUAAGUUUUAAAUUGAAAAUUUAGGGUUUUUAAUUGGGGGUUUUGAUCGAAAAAUUAUGAUUUUGUUGCCAUUGACAAUUUUUCAGGUAAUUUUGAUUUUUGCUUCUAAUGGCUCCUAUUUUACUUUGACCAUUCUUUUUGUUCAAGAUUUUUGCUAGGUUUUUGUUGGAUAGAAAAUUCGUAUAGGGUGAUUCUCUUCCUCGUCUCUCUGUGAUGUUUGCACAUGUUUGUAUGUAUCUAAAUAUUAACAUAUACCUAAAAUCGUGACUUCAUAUGAAGAUGAUUUGUGUUAUGUGUAUGAUGAUUGCUUGUCUUUGUUUCUCUUUGUUGUCUUUGGCUGGUUAUGUUUGUGUAUCUAUGUUUGCUUAGGUAUCUCUAUAUAUCUCUACUUUGUUUCUAUUGUCCCGUAGAGAAGAAAACUAUAUACAUGUUAUUUAUGCCUCUUAGGUGUUUGAUAAAAUGUUGAGUGGUUGGAUCUUACUAGAAUGUAUGCUAAAAUGACAAUGACAUUGGCUACAAGUAGAUAUCAAUACAUUCAUACAGACAACUUACUUUUAAUGUAACACAAUUUUACUCCCAUGUGAUAUAUAUUUCAUAGCUCCAUCUUGGAUGUCCCUAAAUUAUUCUCCAUUUUCAGAAGUCAAUGGAUAGUUUUACUAAAUUUCCCUCAAUGUCUUUCUAAAAUUACUACUAGUUGGCCAAAGAUAAUGCCAAUCCAUGUAAGGGUAAAAUUGAAACCUGCAAUGUAAACACAUUAAAUGAACUUCACUCAAACAUUGUGCUUAUUUCCAAUGUAUUAUAAUUUUGGGUUAUAGCAUGUAAAAUUACAAAUUUAGCUUGUUUCUUUACUUUGAUUGUAUUAAUAAAAAAGCUUGUUUGAACAAAAACUUCUCAAAUAGAACUUAUGUGAAAUUAAGUGUACAAAGAAGAGUGUGUAUAUAUGUUUUAUGUAUAAAAUGUUCCCUUGCUUGAUUCUAGGGGUUGUCAUGUUGGAAACCCAUGCUUCCUUAGAUGUCCCUAAAUGAUUCU